ensembl:miRNA mdo-mir-7262a mdo-mir-7262a
AAGUUUUAUUGCAGUUUUAAGCUUUAGAAACUUACAACGGCAGUAAGACUUUU